AGUGGGAUAGCUGGGUCAAAUGGUGGUUCCAUUCCAAGUUUUCAAGGGAAUCUCUGUACUGCUUUCCAUCUUGGUUGCACCAAUUUGCAAUCCCACCAGCAAU
rnacentral:pre_miRNA from 1 species